rnacentral:rRNA from 1 species
GCGGCAUGCCUUACACAUGCAAGUCGAACGGUAACGCGGGGCAACCUGGCGACGAGUGGCGAACGGGUGAGUAAUGCAUCGGAACGUGCCCAGUAGUGGGGGAUAGCCCGGCGAAAGCCGGAUUAAUACCGCAUACGACCUACGGGUGAAAGCGGGGGACCGUAAGGCCUCGCGCUAUUGGAGCGGCCGAUGUCGGAUUAGCUAGUUGGUGGGGUAAAGGCCUACCAAGGCGACGAUCCGUAGCUGGUCUGAGAGGACGACCAGCCACACUGGGACUGAGACACGGNCCAGACUCCUACGGGAGGCAGCAGUGGGGAAUUUUGGACAAUGGGGGCAACCCUGAUCCAGCCAUGCCGCGUGCGGGAAGAANGCCUUCGGGUUGUAAACCGC